rnacentral:rRNA from 1 species
AGCAGCCGCGGUAAUUCCAGCUCCAAUAGCGUAUAUUAAAGUUGUUGCAGUUAAAAAGCUCGUAGUUGAAUUUCGGGGUUAGUAGUUUGGUCGUGCCAAUGGUAUGUACUGGGCUCACUGAUUCCUCCUUCCUGACGAAUUGUAAUGCCAUUAAUUUGGUGUUGCAGGGAAACAGGACUGUUACUUUGAAAAAUUAGAGUGUUUAAAGCAAGCUAACGCUUGAAUACAUUAGCAUGGAAUAAUGAAAUAGGACGUUCGAACCUAUUUUGUUGGUUUCUAGGAUUGACGUAAUGAUUAAUAGGGAUAGUUGGGGGCAUUAGUAUUCAAUUGUCAGAGGUGAAAUUCUUGGAUUUAUUGAAGACUAACUACUGCGAAAGCAUUCGCCUAAGGAUGUUUUCAUUAAUCAAGAACGAAAGUUAGGGGAUCGAAGACGAUCAGAUACCGUCGUAGUCUUAACCAUAAACUAUGCCGACUAGGGAUCGGAUGAUGUUAAUUUUUAAUGACUCAUUCGGCGCCUUAC